GAUGAACGCUGGCGGCGUGCUUAACACAUGCCAGUCGAACGAAGCACUUUAUUUGAUUUCCUUCGGGACUGAUUAUUUUGUGACUGAGUGGCGGACGGGUGAGUAACGCGUGGGUAACCUGCCUUGUACAGGGGGAUAACAGUUGGAAACGGCUGCUAAUACCGCAUAAGCGCACGGCAUCGCAUGAUGCAGUGUGAAAAACUCCGGUGGUAUAAGAUGGACCCGCGUUGGAUUAGCUAGUUGGUGAGGUAACGGCCCACCAAGGCGACGAUCCAUAGCCGACUUGAGAGGGUGACCGGCCACAUUGGGACUGCGGCACUGCCCAAACUCCUACGGGAGGCAGCAGAGGGGAAUACAGCACAAUGGGCGAAAGCCUGAUGCAGCGACGCCGCGUGAGCAAAGAAGUAUUUCGGUAUGUAAAGCUCUAUCAGCAGGGACGAUAAUGACGGCACCUGACUAAGAAGCACCGGCUAAAUACGUG
rnacentral:rRNA from 1 species